AUGCUGCCCAUUUUUUUGGUCUAAAACAUGAGAUGUGUUUUGACGUCUUGGAAACGGUUCAGAACUUACCUGGACACUUUUUGCUAGUUGCUUGUUUUAGAGGUUUUCUUGCUUCUCUUCAGUUUUUGUUGCUUCUUGAGGCUCAAAGUUUGUCCUUCUUGGCUCCAAGUUCACUGAUAAUCUUUUGGUCCCUCAUCAUUUUCAGUGAGUGAGCUUUCAUCUCUUUAUCUACCUCCUGCUUAAAUAUUUCUGCUUGCUGUCUUAAAGCAGAAACAUCUCCUUCAUAUGUAAUUUUAAGUUCCUGGUAAGAAACUUUAGCCUGCUCCAG